rnacentral:rRNA from 1 species
AGAGUUUGAUCCUGGCUCAGAAUCAACGCUGGCGGCGUGCCUAACACAUGCAAGUCGAACGAGAAAGGGUAGCAAUACCUGAGUAAAGUGGCGCACGGGUGAGUAACACGUGACUAACCUACCCUGGAGUGGGGGAUAACUGAGGGAAACCUUAGCUAAUACCGCAUAAUACCCACGGGUCAAAGGAGCAAUUCGCUCUGGGAGGGGGUCGCGGCCGAUUAGUUAGUUGGCGGGGUAAUGGCCCACCAAGACGAUGAUCGGUAUCCGGCCUGAGAGGGCGCACGGACACACUGGAACUGAAACACGGUCCAGACUCCUACGGGAGGCAGCAGUGGGGAAUUUUGCGCAAUGGGGGAAACCCUGACGCAGCAACGCCGCGUGGAGGAUGAAGUCCUUCGGGACGUAAACUCCUUUCGAUCGGGACGAUUAUGACGGUACCGGAAGAAGAAGCCCCGGCUAACUUCGUGCCAGCAGCCGCGGUAAUACGAGGGGGGUGAGCGUUGUUCGGAAUUAUUGGGCGUAAAGGGUGCGUAGGCGGUUUGGUAAGUCUUGUGUGAAAUCUAUGGGCUCAACUCAUAGUCUGCACGAGAAACUGCCGGGCUUGAGUGUGGGAGAGGUGAGUGGAAUUCCUGGUGUAGCGGUGAAAUGCGUAGAUAUCAGGAGGAACACCUGUGGCGAAAGCGGCUCACUGGACCACAACUGACGCUGAUGCACGAAAGCUAGGGGAGCAAACAGGAUUAGAUACCCUAGUAGUCC